AAUUACACUUUUAUUUACAAUUACAUUUUUUUAUUAUAUAAUUAAACAGUGGCUUGUAUGAUCAGUGGAGCUGACAAAAUAGAUAGCGAGGUGGAGGUGGUCAUAACAUUCUUAUGAGUGUCUAAUUAUUGUUACCAUUUGACAUUCAGGUAACUUUGAAAGAGCCCUCAAAUGGAGCAGAACAGCAGAGUACAAAUCCACUUUUGAUACCGAAGAAGAAACUGUACCAUCAAAAAGGCCAACAAAAAGACCCCUGAAAUAUUAUGACAGCAGUGAAGAUGAGAGAACUUUGCAAACAAAGGAUAAUAGGGAGCCUUUGACUAAGAAAAAAACAAAAGAUGGACCUGUUCCUCAACUCAAGGCAACUGUGGAAAUCCCAAAAGACAACAUGGCUAAAGUUGCACAAAAACAAGCGAAGCUUCCAGCACCCCCCAAUCUCCAUCCAAUAUGUAGAAAAAAAAU